rnacentral:rRNA from 1 species
GACAGAGGGGGCAAGCGUUGUCCGGAAUUACUGGGCGUACAGGGCACGCAGGUGGCUGCAUAGGUGGCGUGUGAAAGCCCCGCGCUUAACGCGGGGAGGCCACGCCAAACGGUGCGGCUCGAGCGAUGCAGAGGGUGGUGGAAUUGCCGGUGUAGUGGUGAAAUGCGUGAGAGAUCGGCAGGAACACCAAGGACGAAGGUAACCACCUGGCGACAGCUGACACUCAUGUG